GCUGCUAAAACUCCUCUGACCCAGUGGUUCAUCAGAACCUCUGGGGAUCCUGUGGAUUCUGUGGAUCCUGUGGGUUGCAGGGUGGGUCCUACCUAGACCAGGCUGAUCCUGGACCAUCCCACAGAUGAUCAAUCAGAUCUGGAUGUGGGGAGUGUGGAACCCAGAUGUUCAGAGGGAGAUGAUGCCACAUCUGGUCCAGCUGAUGGAAGGUCUUGAAGUUGUCUGACUGGCCUCAACUGAAGAUGGUCGUCUCACUGGAUUUAAGGUUCAGAUGCUCAGUAACAAACUCCACCAAUGAGCCAACAGGGAAGCUUUAGGUUUAUUAAAUGUUGCUAUGAAGGUUUCGCUGUUUUUCUUUGUGAAUGCAAUGUGCUCCAACUGAAACUUGAAUUAGAACUUAGAAGUAAAUCCUUCCAUCUGAAAGGAUCUAGUUGCAUUAAUAACCUCAUAGCAUUCAAAUUUUUAUUUCAGUCUUGGCUGGAAAUAGAAUCUCUGUAUUGAUUCAGGUAAAAACUGAACUUCACAGCAUGUUGAAGCAAAACAACCAGAUGAAAACUGUGAUGGUGUUGGAUUGUCAGACCGUAAUGUUGCAGCUCAAAGCAGCUUUUCAAGCUCAGUUCAUUCUGACAUUCAGCUAUGAAUCAACACAGCAAAUGGUGAUCCAUGCUGUGGAAGUC
ensembl:lncRNA